ensembl:lncRNA
UCGAUAGGAUGCAUGGAACUGGUCGAUAGGAUGCAUGGAACUGGUCGAUAGGAUGCAUGGAACUGGUCGAUUGGAUGCAUGGACCUCAGGUCGAUAGGAUGCAUGGACCUGGUCGAUAGGAUGCAUGGACCUGGUCGAUAGGAUGCAUGGACCUCAGGUCGAUAGGAUGCAUGGAACUGGUCGAUAGGAUGCAUGGACCUCAGGUCGAUAGGAUGCAUGGACCUCAGGUCGAUAGGAUGCAUGGAACUGGUCGAUAGGAUGCAUGGAACUGGUCGAUAGGAUGCAUGGACCUCAGGUCGAUAGGAUGCAUGGACCUCAGGUCGAUAGGAUGCAUGGAACUGGUCGAUAGGAUGCAUGGAACUGGUCGAUAGGAUGCAUGGACCUCAGGUCGAUAGGAUGCAUGGAACUGGUCGAUAGGAUGCAUGGAACUGGUCGAUAGGAUGCAUGGAACUGGUCGAUAGGAUGCAUGGAACUGGUCGAUAGGAUGCAUGGAACUGGUCGAUAGGAUGCAUGGAACUGGUCGAUUGGAUGCAUGGACCUCAGGUCGAUAGGAUGCAUGGACCUGGUCGAUAGGAUGCAUGGACCUGGUCGAUAGGAUGCAUGGACCUCAGGUCGAUAGGAUGCAUGGAACUGGUCGAUAGGAUGCAUGGACCUCAGGUCGAUAGGAUGCAUGGACCUCAGGUCGAUAGGAUGCAUGGACCUCAGGUCGAUAGGAUGCAUGGACCUCAGGUCGAUAGGAUGCAUGGACCUCAGGUCGAUAGGAUGCAUG